AAAAAAUUCUGUGCUAUGGUGGCCUUAAGUAUGUGCUCAACAUUUUGAAAAAUGUGAACAGCAAAAACAGUUGUCACUAUGCAGUGUGUUUGGACAACCUAAGCAUUCUUGAAUCAGACUGCUUCAGCUUAUAUCGAAGAUGUAUUGCUUGUCAUGCCCGGUGACCAACUUCACAGGACUAUGUUAAAAUUUAGAUUACAUGCCUAGUAUGAAAGAGAUCAAGUAUAUUACCGAAAUUGGCUAUCUCAAUUCGCGACUUCCGAACUCAUCCUCAGUCUGUCAUUCUGAUGCAGGGGUCCUGAAAGAAGUUGGAACGUUUUGAACCGUCU